rnacentral:lncRNA from 1 species
CAGCUCCACUGUGUGGCCUUGGGAGUUCCCAAGCCAGAAAUCACAUGGGAGAUGCCUGACCACUCCCUUCUCUCAACGGCAAGUAAAGAGAGGACACAUGGAAGUGAGCAGCUUCACUUACAAGAUUCAGAAGUGUGAAGGAUGCCCAUACGGAGUCACUCCUUGCUGUGGCUGGUUGCCUAAGGAGAAAAAUAAAUUGAACCAAAAUUACAGACACAAAA